AUUCAUUGUCAGUUAACUAUCACUCAAGGCUCUGAGCCACACCCCUCCCCCCAAGAAAGACAAAAACACACAGUCUCUGGCACGCGGGCGAGGUGGGCGUGAGGGGCUGUGACAAGCAGGCUGGCUGCCCUGACCUGAACUGCCCCCAGCCGGCCGCCCCUGCAUCUUCCCUGCUCUUUCCAUCUCGGCCUCGGUUUCCUCAAAGCUCUUCUGGCUCCCGCUAGCGCCAUUCACAUCUCUGAGCCUUCAUCCAGCUCCUCCUCAGGCCUCGCAUCCCAGCCAGGCUGGGGGCAGGCCGCCCCCUGCCCUCCCCAGGCACUCCGCUAGAACUUGAGGUCUCCUAAGUGCUGGGCAGUAUCUGGGCUGUUCCUCCGACCACUGCAUCGUGAGCGUCUCAGCUGGUCGUCCCAAAAGCAGACCUUGAGACAACGACGUGGGUGCAGGUCUUUUAUCUGAGGGGACAUCGCAGGAGGCACAGGGAGUUCCUGGGGUGGCCGGCGCGCUGAUCCACUGAUUGGGGCUCUGUGCUCAGGAGCAUCAAGUCCCCUGCCUUUCUGGGAGGCACCCAGCAAGUUCUCUGCUGCCAGAGUGGCCCCCAGGCAGAGAAUAAGAAAGAGGCAAGAGCGUGAGGCCGGAAGUCAUCCUGUGCCAGGCUCGCCAGCAGCAGACAAACUCAGUGGGCGCAAAGGUCUGGGUCUGUUUUCUGUUUACUUACUAGAACCCCAGUGCCAGGAGGGGCUUGGCGCACAGUCCACAAGAGAUGUUUAUGAAGGAACGGACGGAUGCGUGCACGGGGAAUGCCACUCCUUGCUCUCAAGGCCCUCUCAUCCAGCAGAGUUUCAUAUAAAGAGAACCAUACAGUUUGUCCUCCUUUCUGGCUUCCUUCGUUCAGCAUGCUUUGAGAUCCACCCACGUUGUUGAGUGCAUCAGUAAUUGAUUCCUUUUCAUUGCUGAGCAGCGUCUCUUGGAUGUACCGCUUGUUUAUCCAUUCACGUGCUGAUGGACAUCAGGACAAUUUCCAGUUUUGGGCUAUUAUGAAUAAAGCUGUUAUGAACAUAUG
rnacentral:lncRNA from 1 species